GGAUGUGAGACGCAGAGGAUAAAUCAAUUCCACCCCCAGCCCUCCUUCCACAACGCCACCACCAACACCCUUUUCCCCACAUUGUACUGAUGUGGGUGUUGGUUCACUUCCCUGGUAAAACCCAAACAACACAAGAAAGACAGAAUCGGGCAGGAUCUGGGCAAUAAAGAAGACACAGGCUUGUUUAAACAUCAGUCUAUUAUUUUAAUAAUAAUAAAAGAUAAAAUGUCACUUAAUAUAAGUUACUGCAGUUUUAUAGAGAGACAGAACCGCUAGCCACCACAAAGCUUGUUCUGUGUAGAUUCAUACAAUAAUAAUCUGUGAGUGUGUUAUUGUUGUUAGCGUGUGUGUGUGUGUGUCUGUGUGUGUCUGGGUCUUUGUGUGCGUGGCUGGGUGUGCGCGUGUGUGUGUGUGUGUGUGUGUGAGAGCAUGUAAAGUCAUAGUUAAGAGACUAGCCAGGGUCUAGAGAGAGCUAUUGUAAGACCGUCAUGAGUAUAGGCCAUGAAUAAAGGGGCUUUGCGCGUGUGUGUGUGUACCUUGAGUUUGUACUGCAUUGAGCACAGCACUGAGUUUGUAAGAAAAAAAGCUUCUACACACUGCAACUAGGACACGCCCUCCUGCGACCCUUCCAUUCUCACAACACUCAAUCACUCUCACUGUCACAUUGCUAAAGUCACAAACUGAUCAUAAAAGUGUUCGUUCAGGUCUUUCCUACCCCCUAUUCACUAUAGAGUCGACCUGUUCUUUUCACCAGAAACCCAUUAGCCGCUCCUGAUGAGUUUGUCAUCUAACCCUCCUUUGUAGAAAAAUUAUAUUGCAAUGAGCUCGUAUAAAGCAUCAAGCCUGAACACUGGGAUAGGGAUGUCUGUUUUUGGUAUUGCCUCUCACACAACGGGCCUCAUUGAGACGCAUUUCAAACAAAUAUAUAUACGUAUAUAACAUGUCUGUGAAAUGACCUGCACUUAGAGCUAAGAAGGAAGUGAGCAGAGCGCUAGGUAGCUUCUAGCUUCUAUGUUCCCUGCUGCUGGCUGCUAGCAUGAGUCUAGUGUAGUCUAGUCCCUGGGACGUCAGGCCUGUGUUAUGGAUGCACUUCCUUGUACCUGUGUGUGUGUGUGUGUGUGUGUGUGUGUGUCAAAGCGGGGUCACACUGAAAGUGAUGCUUAUAGAGUUGUUCAUGUCUCCCUUUACACCGUUUUCUGCGCUUGGAAGAGAGUUCUGGAUAUAAAGACCCUUAAAAGGCUGGAUUACUGGGAGGAUUUGGCCACAGCAGCCCGGGAAGAGGAGAGAGAGGAUGGAUAAAAGUAUUUGAACUGAAGUGCAUUUGAAGGAGCUACAAGGAACAGAAUGCUCACUAUUUUCCCUGGAAGGCUGGACAUGAAUGUGUAUCUGUAUUAUAUGCUUGUUGUUUUUGUGUUUCAGCGCACGUGUGUGUGUGUGUGUGUGUGUGUGUGUGUGUGUGUGUGUGUGUGUGUGUGUGUGUGUGUGUGUGUGUGUGUUUCAGUGUGUGUGAUCGUUGACCGGACGUGUUAUUGACUUAUUGCAUUAGAUGGUCGCUGCGCCUCAUGCUCCAAUAUUACACUCAAGUUUAUACUGAAAUCAGACUUGACACACACACACACACACACACACACACACACACACACACACACACUCACACACUUGUCCAUUACUUGUCCAUCAAGUAAUGGACAAGUAAUGUGUGAACUAUUACUUGCGUUCUGCUUCAGCGUAUACAUCAGGCCCACUGCUAGUGUGUCCAUCCUUCUCGCCUGGCUGCCCGCCUCCCUCUCAGAGGGGCACCUAUGAUCACCAGAGAGGGGAUCCAAGGGUUCUUGUCCACACCGCCCCAUCUAAUCACCAUGCUGUCUCUGUUCUGGUGUGUGGCAGCCAGGCCAUCCCCCCUGACGGCGGCCAGAUUGCUAACCAGCCAGCACCUGCUCGCGGUGCACCAUACUAACGUUCCAUUUCUAACGAUGUAUUCGACUCGAAAUGUUUGCUUGUGAUAGUUAGUUAAUGGGCACACAUAAUAUUAUGUCUGCCCAUUGUGGCGGCCAUUGCACUUCUAACCACCUCUGGGAGGAGGGAUCCUUCUCGGGGACUUGCUAAUGAAGGGAUUCCUUUACCUGACCUAUGGGGGGGGGCAGGGUAGUCAUAAAAUGUUUGUGUGAAGCCCUUUGAGACUGUGAAAUGCACUUGACUAGACUUGAUUCAGGAGCAAAAGGGAGGAGGAGAUUUGGUGAAGAAGAGAACAGAAGUGUGUACAAUGACUUUAAAUAAGAAUGAGAAGAGGGGAAUAUUUGUUUAUGAAAUACAUAUGUUAAGAGUGUCGGAGCAGAAGAGCUGUCUGUUUAGAGGGAGCAGGGAAAUGUCCAUGUGAACAUUUGUCAAUGUUUCUGAAUCUCUGCCUUCUGCUCUAGGCCUCCGACCAGAGCCUCCAGGUCUCUUCUGGCGCUGCUGGACUACUGCCUCUAAGCCUGCCUCACAGUGGAGCCCCUUUCAACCACACACACACACACACACACACACACACACACACACACACACACACACACACACACACUGAAAGCAUACAUAUGCAUACAUUGAAAGCACACAAACACACUCUCACACAUGCAUACAUUUAAGACACACACACACACACACAUGCAUAAAUUGAAAGCAUACAUAUGCAUACAUUGAAAGCACACAAACACAAGUGCAUACAUUUAAGACACACACACACACACACACAUAAAUGCACACAUUAAAAAAGAGUCACUCAAAAACCCAUUAAUUAAACAAAAACACUACACACACAUACAGAAAUACACACACACACACACACCAGACUGAACACACACACACACACACACAAACACUUAACACACAUAAAUUAAACACGUGCCACACACAAACAUCAUACAUACUUUGGGCGUACAUGCAUUAGGCAUACAUUACACACACACACACACACACACACACACACACACACACACACACACACACACACACACACACACACACACACACACACACACACACACACACACACACACACAGCAGGAGCCUUGGCUUGCAUGCAUACAAGCUCUGCUGGCCUUGAGGACAUAUUCUGCAUCGCAUUGCUGCACUUACUGCAGCAUGCAGUGGCAAAAGGAACUGCGUGCCAAAAGCUGCUCUCUGAACCAGGGGUGACAGUGGUGUCUCCCCUGCACGGUCAUUCCCACACGCAACGACUUGUGCGGUACAGCUGGACGCACAUGCAAGUGACAGGAGGACAUUAAAGUGGUGGGGGUUAUACAUAGCGCCACUUUAAUAUUUUUCAGUUUCUGACCUCAAUAUCAUUCCCUUAUCGGGAUGUUGCCCCUGGUUUGGCGGUCUGUGUUUUACUAGAGCUGUAAAGAUCUCCCCCUGACCUGUAGCCCAGUCAAACCAGCACAUUGAGUCACGCAUCAUGCUGGGCUCCUCUGAGAUCAUGGAAUGAUAUUUUUAUCCGUGCCGUUUUUCCUUUUGUCCUCAGACAGUUUAUACAAGGUCACACACACACACAUACACAUUCUUUAUGGGGCCUGGCGGUCCUAGCUACAGGUGCUGAGGGCCCACAGCCGAUCCGCUGCUCACUCUUCCACUACGGGUGAUAUGCAGCCAGUCUGCCUGGUAGGGCAGCCGGGGGAUGCCAAAAUCAUUGACUUUGCCUCCGCUCCGUUGGUAAGUAUACAGUGGAUUAUACGGGAGAUCCAGUGGAAGCUGGGAUUUUCGAUGGUCCACAAGGGCACAGAGAGCAGCGGUAGAACCGCGAGCCAUGCGCCUUUCAAAGCCUGCUCAAACCUUUAGGGGUGGGUUGGAGCCCCCACCUCAGGGAGACACUAUCUGAUGAUGAUAGCAGGGAGAUUAGUUCUGUCCACACCGCGCUCCAGGUUUUUUUGUGCUGUGGGGUCUUUUUGCUGAUGUUGAUCCGAGUGCAUGCACUGUGUGUGUGUGUGUGUGUGUGUGUGUGUGUGUGUGUGUGUGUGUGUGUGUGUGUGUGUGUGUGUGUGUGUGUGUGUGUGUGUGUGUGUGUGUGUGUGUGUGUAUGUGUGUAUGUGUGUGCAUGCAUGCAUGCGUAAGUGCAUGUGUGCGUGCCGGUGCAUGCAUGUGUGUGUCUCAAGGUUGUGUUUAAGACUGCAUCAUGCGAGUGCGCACGCGUGUGUUUGGGUGCCUGUGUGCCUGUGCGCUAAAGAAAAAGCUGCCAAUGAUUAUGGCUCAUUUAAUGUGAAGCGAGGUUGGAAUGAGAAUUAACAGAGAGGAACUGGGGGUUGAACUGGAGAAGGGUGUUAAUGUUACGAGGGUCUGGCUUUGACUAUGCCCCGUUGCCCUUGAGAUGUGGCUGUGCCUAUGUGUGUGUGAUUAUUUGUGUGCAGGCCUGGGUUUGUAUGUGUGUUUCUAUAAGGAAUAAGUGACAGUGACUGUUGAGUUGAGUGAAAGGAGUGUGUGUGUGUGUGCGUGCGUGCGUGCGUGCGUGUGUGUGUUUGUGUGUGUGUGUGUGUGACAGUGUGUGUGUGUGUGUGUGUGUGUGUCUGGUAUCGUUGUUCUUCCGCUUGGUUUAUGAGCAUGAUAAUGUAAACUGUUUAUCUUUGUGAGGGUCUACAGGAGAAUGACAAUAGGCCAGUGGGGGUCUCUUUUUGUAAUCCAAAUCAGUCCCGCUGGAGGCCAUCAGAGGCUGUCCUGAGAGGCACACACACACACACACACACACACACACACACACACACACACACACACACACACACACACACACACACACACACACACACACACAC
ensembl:lncRNA